rnacentral:lncRNA from 1 species
CAUGAAAACACAGAAAUCUUUACAGUAAAUGGAGAAUUACUGUCUUUUAGACAAAGAGAAGGGACUUUUUAAAAUCCAACCUUAGGAUGACUUCAUAUUCUUUUAUCAUAUCACAACAGUGGAUUAAUAAAAGAGUCAUUAACUUGUACUUAGUGGAUCAAAUAUCAUGUUUCCAGGGUUAACAUCUGGGUCUAAGCUUUACCCUGCUGCAGAAGAUACUAUUGUUGCAAACGUGUCAGAAGGAAAGAAACAUGCUGUAUGUAUUGGAGUCCUGAAGAUAUAUGCAGAACAUUUUGAGAAAAUCAACAAAGGAAUUAGCAUUGAAAAUAUCCAUUAUUUAAAUGAUAUGCGAUGGCAUAGGGAGAUAUAUAAA